rnacentral:rRNA from 1 species
AACUUGGGAGUCAGAACAUGGGUGAUAAGGUCCGUGUUCGAAAGGGAAACAGCCCAGACCACCAGCUAAGGUCCCAAAAUAUAUGUUAAGUGGAAAAGGAUGUGGCGUUGCCCAGACAACUAGGAUGUUGGCUUAGAAGCAGCCAUCAUUUAAAGAGUGCGUAAUAGCUCACUAGUCGAGUGACACUGCGCCGAAAAUGUACCGGGGCUAAACAUAUUACCGAAGCUGUGGAUUGUCCUUUGGACAAUGGUAGGAGAGCGUUCUAAGGGCGUUGAAGCAUGAUCGCAAGGACAUGUGGAGCGCUUAGAAGUGAGAAUGCCGGUGUGAGUAGCGAAAGACGGGUGAGAAUCCCGUCCACCGAUUGACUAAGGUUUCCAGAGGAAGGCUCGUCCGCUCUGGGUUAGUCGGGUCCUAAGCUGAGGCCGACAGGCGUAGGCGAUGGAUAACAGGUUGAUAUUCCUGUACCACCUAUAAUCGUUUUAAUCGAUGGGGGGACGCAGUAGGAUAGGCGAAGCGUGCGAUUGGAUUGCACGUCUAAGCAGUAAGGCUGAGUAUUAGGCAAAUCCGGUACUCGUUAAGGCUGAGCUGUGAUGGGGAGAAGACAUUGUGUCUUCGAGUCGUUGAUUUCACACUGCCGAGAAAAGCCUCUAGAUAGAAAAUAGGUGCCCGUACCGCAAACCGACACAGGUAGUCAAGAUGAGAAUUCUAAGGUGAGCGAGCGAACUCUCGUUAAGGAACUCGGCAAAAUGACCCCGUAACUUCGGGAGAAGGGGUGCUCUUUAGGGUUAACGCCCAGAAGAGCCGCAGUGAAUAGGCCCAAGCGACUGUUUAUCAAAAACACAGGUCUCUGCUAAACCGUAAGGUGAUGUAUAGGGGCUGACGCCUGCCCGGUGCUGGAAGGUU